UACGAAGGACCCGAGCGUUAUCCGGAUUUAUUGGGUUUAAAGGGUGCGUAGGCGGAUUUACAAGUCAGUGGUGAAAUCUCCCGGCUUAACCGGGAAACUGCCAUUGAAACUGUUUAUCUUGAGUACAUUUGAGGCGGGCGGAAUGUGUCAUGUAGAGGUGAAAUUCUUAGAUAUGACACAGAACACCGAUUGCGAAGGCAGCUUACUAAGCUGUAACUGACGCUGAGGCACGAAAGUGUGGGGAUCAAACAGG
rnacentral:rRNA from 1 species